rnacentral:tRNA from 1 species
GGGAAUAUACUUUAUAUAGAAGAAUUGAUUUGCAAUCAAUAAGAGAUUACCUAUUUCCA